AAAGUAGUAUGGAUUGGAUGAAUGGACCAUAGGCGCCGACUUCCCCUGUUUUCCAUGAUGCACAAAUUGGGGGAGUGGUAAAUAAUGAAGAGGACAGGUCACUGUUACAGAGCAGUCUGGAUCAGUAGGCCAUUUAGAAAAGGAAUAUGCUGCUGGAACAGCCCUGCCUACCAAUAAUGAUGAUAAAGGAUCUGAAGGUAAAGUUGGCAUUAAGAUGUGAGUUGAUAAAUCAUUUCACUAAAAAUAUC